UGAAGGUAAAAAGAAUAAAAAGGGAAGGUCUAGGAAAAAACGAGCUCAUUUAUCAUCUAAACAAGGACGCAAACAUACGCAGUCGAGAUCAAUAAAGAAAAAAUCAUCCAAGAAAUUAAACAUAAAAGAUAUUUUUUCGAAAUCAAAAUGACCACCCAUAUAGAAUGUAUGAAAAGCGAAUUGGAUCUGUUUGAACCACAUCCCACACAAAGUUCUAUUCUGAGAACUGAAGAAGUUUCAUACAACCCCAUAGCAUCGUUGGACAGUGCUUCUUCAAUUGAAUUCGUGUGCUUAGGAAAUGGUGAAACAUAUAGAGACCUGUCAAGUGUUUACUUAAGACUUGUUGUACAGCUAAGAAAAAAUGAUAAUGGUGUCAUUGAAGGAAACAAUGUUGGAGUAGUUAAUAAUAUUUUGCAUUCAAUGUUCAGAAAUCGUAUUUGCAAACGAUUUUAAACUAUGGCAGUGAUGCCAGUGAAAGUCACUUAGCUACUCAAGGGUAUUAUCCUAAUUAUGGAAAAUUAAUAUCUGGUCAAUAUGUUAACACCGAUGGGAACAUUCUGCUCAAAAAUAUAUUUCAAAACAGUAAUAAGGUUGAACUGUUCGGAAAAGUUCAUGGAGAUAUAUUUAAUCAACCAAAAUUACUCAUAAAUAAUGUUGAUUUGAGGAUAACUUUUGGCAUUGAAAAACUAGCAUUUUAUUUGAUGGAAACUGAUUCUGAGUCAAGUCUUAAGAUAUUGGAAGCGCAACUUUUCAUGAAUCACAUAACUAUUAAUCCAAGCAUUUUAUUGGCCCAUCAUCAUGUUUUCCAAACUAAAAAUGACAGCAAAGUUCAAGUAAAAUCAUUUACAAUAUAUCCAGGAAAUAAUACGCUAUCAAUUGACAACGCAGUUAUUGGACAGCUUCCUAAUUUCUUAGCUUUUUGCAUGUUAAAAAACAAAUCAUAUUCAGGAAAUCGGACAUUAAAUCCAUUCAACUUUGAUCAUUUUAAAAUUCAACGCUUUAAUCUAAUGGUAAAUGGUGUGCAAGUACCAUCGCAGGCACUUGAGUUUGAUUUCUCGAAUUCUGAAAAUGCUCAAAGCUCUAGAGGAUAUAUUAUAUGUUAUUCAGAUCAAGUGGCAUAAGACAUUAUGAUCGAGGCUUGAAAAUCACAAAGGCAAUGUUUGAUAAAAACAGUUUUUUAUUAGCAUUUGACUUAACUGCAGAUCAUCAUAGUUCAACUGUAUGCUCAAACUUGAUUUCUCAAGGAUCCAUCCGAACUGAAGGACAUUUUUCUGAGCCUCUUACAGAAGCAGUUACUUGUCUGGUGUACUGUGAAUAUGACUCAAUGAUUGAUAUUGAUAAACAUCGAAAUAUACGUGUUCUUCUGUAAAA